GAUGAACGCUAGCUACAGGCUUAACACAUGCAAGUCGAGGGGAAACGACAUUGGAAGCUUGCUUCCUUUGGGCGUCGACCGGCGCACGGGUGAGUAACGCGUAUCCAACCUUCCCGCAAGUAAGGGAUAACCCGUAGAAAUGCGGCCUAAUACCUUAUGUUUUCCUUAGAGGGCAUCUGAUGAGGAACAAAGAUCCGUCGCUUGCGGAUGGGGAUGCGUCUGAUUAGUUAGUCGGCGGGGUAACGGCCCACCGAGACGACGAUCAGUAGGGGUUCUGAGAGGAAAGUCCCCCCACAUUGGAACUGAGACACGGUCCAAACUCCUACGGGAGGCAGCAGUGAGGAAUAUUGGUCAAUGGGCGGAAGCCUGAACCAGCCAAGUAGCGUGCAGGACGACGGCCCCUAUGGGUUGUAAACUGCUUUUACUGCCGGGGGAUAAAGUGAUGCCUGCGGGCGUUAUUGCAUGUACCGUACGAAUAAGGACCGG
rnacentral:rRNA from 1 species